rnacentral:rRNA from 1 species
UGGAGCGACGCCGCGUGCAGGAUGAAGGCCUUAGGGUUGUAAACUGCUGUCACGCUAUAGGAACCACUUGUACUGAAUAGGUGCAGGUCUGACCAAAGCGAGAGGAAGCACCGGCUAACUCCGUGCCAGCAGCCGCGGUAAUACGGAGGGUGCAAGCGUUGUUCGGAUUCACUGGGCAUAAAGAGCAUGUAGGCGGCUCGCUCAGUCAGGUGUGAAAGCCCACGGCCCAACCGUGGAACUGCAUCUGAUACUGGCGAGCUUGAGGACGGAAGGGGUGAGUGGAACUCCAGGUGGAACGGUGAAAUGUAUAGAUAUCUGGAGGAACACCGGUGGCGAAAGCGGCUCACUGGUCCGUCUCUGACGCUGAGAUGCGAAAGCUAGGGUAGCGAACGGGAUUAGAUACCCCGGUAGUCCUAGCCGUAAACGAUGGGCACUAGGCAAUGGGCUUACUAUGAGGUUCAUUGCCGCAGCUAAUGUGUUAAGUGCCCCGCCUGGGGAGUACGCUCGCAAGGGUAAAACUCAAAGGAAUUGACGGGGCCUCACACAAAAAA